rnacentral:rRNA from 1 species
UCGGACGGGUGGUAACGCGUGAGGAACUACCUACAGGACUGGGACAACAACUGGAAACGGUUGCUAAAACCGGAUGUGCCGAGAGGUGAAAUAUUUUAUAGCCUGUAGAUGUGCUCGCGUCUGAUUAGCUAGUUGGUGGGGUAAAGGCCUACCAAGGCGACGAUCAGUAGCUGGUCUGAGAGGAUGAUCAGCCACACUGGGACUGAGACACGGCCCAGACUCCUACGGGAGGCAGCAGUGGGGAAUUUUCCGCAAUGGGCGCAAGCCUGACGGAGCAAUACCGCGUGAGGGAGGAAGGCUCUUGGGUCGUAAACCUCUUUUCUCUGGGAAGAAUAACUGACGGUACCAGAGGAAUCAGCAUCGGCUAACUCCGUGCCAGCAGCCGCGGUAAUACGGGGGAUGCAAGCGUUAUCCGGAAUUAUUGGGCGUAAAGCGUCCGCAGGUGGCUAAUCAAGUCUGUUGUCAAAGCGCGGAGCUCAACUCCGUACAGGCGAUGGAAACUGGUUGGCUAGAGUUAGGUAGGGGUAAGAGGAAUUCCCAGUGUAGCGGUGAAAUGCGUAGAUAUUGGGAAGAACACCGGCGGCGAAAGCGUCUUACUGGCCUAAA